UGCCAGCAGCCGCGGUAAUACGGAGGGGGUUAGCGUUGUUCGGAAUUACUGGGCGUAAAGCGCGCGUAGGCGGGCUGUUAAGUUAGGGGUGAAAUCCCAGGGCUCAACCCUGGAACUGCCCUUAAUACUGGCAACCUAGAGUUCGAGAGAGGUGAGUGGAAUUCCGAGUGUAGAGGUGAAAUUCGUAGAUAUUCGGAGGAACACCAGUGGCGAAGGCGGCUCACUGGCUCGAUACUGACGCUGAGGUGCGAAAGCGUGGGGAGCAAACAGGAUUAGAUA
rnacentral:rRNA from 1 species